UACAGAGGGUGCGAGCGUUAAUCGGAAUUACUGGGCGUAAAGCGCACGUAGGUGGCGACGUAAGUCGGGUGUGAAAGCCCCGGGCUCAACCUGGGAAUUGCAUUCGAGACUGCAUUGCUGGAGUACGGAAGAGGAAGGCGGAAUUCCCGGUGUAGCGGUGAAAUGCGUAGAUAUCGGGAGGAACAUCAGUGGCGAAGGCGGCCUUCUGGUCCAGUACUGACACUCAAGUGCGAAAGCGUGGGUAGCAAACGGG
rnacentral:rRNA from 1 species